rnacentral:lncRNA from 1 species
ACAUUGUAACAAAGGGAUCCUAUUUAUAGGACACAUUUAGGGGACAAUAAAACUUACACAAUAAUGGACAUUCAUUACAUAUUAUUAUUCAUAACACUCCCCCUUGAAUGUCCAUUCAGGACAUGCCUCGUUAAAACCUUACUAGAGAAAAAACCAUUGGAAAAAAAAUCCUAGUGAAGGAAAAAGAGUACAUAUCAUCCUUUAUAUGUGAACUGCCUCGUUAAAAACCUUA